rnacentral:rRNA from 1 species
UACGUAGGGUGCGAGCGUUAAUCGGAAUUACUGGGCGUAAAGCGUGCGCAGGCGGUUCGUUAAGUUCGUUGUGAAAGCCCCGGGCUCAACCUGGGAACUGCAAUGGAAACUGGCGGGCUUGAGUGUGGCAGAGGGGGGUGGAAUUCCGCGUGUAGCAGUGAAAUGCGCAGAUAUCGGGAGGAACACCUAUGGCGAAGGCAGCUCGCUGGGACGUUACUGACGCUGAGACGCGAAAGCGUGGGGAGCAAACAGG